UACAAGUUGCUCUGUGCGGAUUCGCACGC
rnacentral:sRNA from 1 species